rnacentral:rRNA from 1 species
CCUACGGUGCGCAGCAGUGGGGAAUAUUGCACAAUGGGGGAAACCCUGAUGCAGCGACGCCGCGUGAGCGAUGAAGUAUUUAGGUAUGUAAAGCUCUAUUAGCCGGGAAGAAAAUGACGGUACCUGACUAACAAGCCCCGGCUAACUACGUGCCAGCAGCAGCGGUAAUACGUAGGGGGCAAGCGUUAUCCGGAUUUACUGGGUGUAAAGGGAGCGUAGACGGCUGUGCAAGCCAGGUGUGAAAGCCCGGGGCUCAACCCCGGGACGGCAUUUGGAACUGUGUGGCUGGAGUGUCGGAGAGGCAGGCGGAAUGCGUGGUGUAGCAGGGAAAUGCGUAGAUAUUAAGAGGAACACCAGUGGCGAAGGCGGCCUGCUGGACGAUGACUGACGUUGAGGCUCGAAAGCGUGGGGAGCGAACAGGAUUAGAUACCCUGGUAGUC